GACGAACGCUGGCGGCGUGCUUAACACAUGCAAGUCGAGCGAGGCCCCUCCUUCGGGAGGGUGUCCUAGCGGCGAACGGGUGAGUAACACGUGGGCAACCUGCCCUCAGCUCUGGGAUAACUCCGGGAAACCGGGGCUAAUACCGGAUACGACCUCCACGGGCAUCUGCGGAGGUGGAAAGUUUUUCGGCUGAGGAUGGGCCCGCGGCCUAUCAGCUAGUUGGUGGGGUAGUGGCCCACCAAGGCGACGACGGGUAGCCGGCCUGAGAGGGCGACCGGCCACACUGGGACUGAGACACGGCCCAGACUCCUACGGGAGGCAGCAGUGGAGAAUAUUGCGCAAUGGGCGGAAGCCUGACGCAGCGACGCCGCGUGGGGGAAGAAGGCCUUCGGGUUGUAAACCUCUUUCAGCAGGGACGAAGCGAAAGUGACGGUACCUGCAGAAGAAGCACCGGCCAACUACGUG
rnacentral:rRNA from 1 species